ncrna:Pongo pygmaeus (Bornean orangutan) microRNA ppy-mir-28 precursor
CUUGCCCUCAAGGAGCUCACAGUCUAUUGAGUUACCUUUCUGAUUUUCCCACUAGAUUGUGAGCUCCUGGAGGGCAGG